UACGAAGGGGGCUAGCGUUGUUCGGAAUUACUGGGCGUAAAGCGCGCGUAGGCGGCGAUCUUUGUCAGAGGUGAAAUCCCGAGGCUCAACUUCGGAAUUGCCUUUGAAACGGGAUUGCUUGAGUCCGAGAGAGGAUGGCGGAAUUCCUAGUGUAGAGGUGAAAUUCGUAGAUAUUAGGAAGAACACCGGUGGCGAAGGCGGCCAUCUGGCUCGGUACUGACGCUCAGGCGCGAAAGCGUGGGGAGCAAACAGG
rnacentral:rRNA from 1 species